UAUAAAUCGAUGGAAAAAUAUAAUUAACACUCAGAAUUAACUACAUUUAUUAAUUAUAGUGUUUAUAUUAAUACUAGAGUUUUCAAAUAAUUACAUACUUUCUCUAAUUGUUGUAGCUUAGUAACAAAUAUUAGGAUUAAUGUAAUUGUUUGAAAAGUUUUCACAAUAAUUAAAAAACCCUACAUAGAUUCUUCCACUUAGACCUUCAAAACAAAAAAAAACCUAAAAAAGCAAGUCAAUAAAAAGACUCACACUAACCGACUUUCCGAAACCGCGUCAAAUUUAAAACCGUUGUAAUGUAAACCGCCUCCUCAAUCAUCAUAAUUCAUACGCUACCUGUGGCAGCUACUCCUAUAAAUACUUCUCCACCAAUUUUUGUACGCUAAUGAUUUAGGUUUUCCUCUUUACUGUCUUUAAUUUGUUCUCGAUUGCUCAAUUUCAGAUUAUUUAUGUUCUUGCGAAUUUCAAUUUCCGUUUUCGAUUGAUUCUUUGUGGUGUGAUUUUGGUGUGCGCAGCACCAUAAUGACACAUACAGCUCUAUGCUUCAGGUUUCAUGUUUUGAUCUUGUAGUCGACUAUCUCAAUUCUCAACUGGUGUUUUGGUUUUCCUUUGAUUCUUACUUUUACGAGUUCUAUGUUUCAUAUUGUGUGUCGUUGCAUUCAUUGACAUGAUAGUGGUGACUCGGAGGUUCAAAGUUCAAAGUUGGUGGAUUACAUAAUUCUUUUGCUCAGCUUCUUGGAUAAAGUAACUAACUAACUAACUAUAUUAAUUUUAAAUUUUAAAUAUCUCUUGCACAUUCUAAGUUUAUCCUUAUACUUCAGGUGCAUUUUCCAUCGAUGUUUAAUGGUGUCCGGUGCUGGUAUCUUUCUUUUCAUCCCAAGCUAUAUGUGUCGUACACUAUCUUACAUCCUUAAAUUUGUUGACACGAGAUUGGUAAUGCAGCCCAAUGCUUAUGGAUUAGGGAUGUUAAAGUCAAGUGUCAGCCCACAUUCUACGGGUCAUUGUGUAAGCAUAUGCAUUGUGAGAAUCCAUUUUUUGGAUGAUUUUCCUUCUGGUAAUUGUUUCUCGUUUUGACUAAUGAUUUUUGAGAUGUUAUUGGACAUUGGUGCAUUUUAAUAUACGAGAUUAUCUUUCAGAUACUAUUAUAUCUUCAGGAUUGGGGGUCACAGCUGGAAUGGUGGGAGUGGCAAAAGGGUUGGGGUUGUUGGAUUAUAUUGGAUCUCAUAGUUGCAAGACUCCUUCCAUGGCUUGGAAUUUUUUAAAAUAGGAAGUCUCUGUAACUAAAUAUAUGCAUAAUGUUGAUGUCAAUUAUGUUAUUCAUGCCUUGCUGGAUCGAGCUCUUAUAGCAACCAGUGUAUGUGUAGUUUGUCUGUGUGUUUGCAGGCAUCCCUCUCUGCAAUAAGGAGUUUUCUCACUCUGUCUCAAUCUCUUACAAGAGAAGGUUCAGAUUGAUCUGCAUAUAUGAACAAGCUUCGAUAGACUAUGUUCUUACAGCAUAUGCUGGGGCCUGGGGAGCCUGGGAACUUAUGUGGUGUUUAUGACCAGGUUAUUUUGGGGACAAGUCAAUUCAUUUUUGAACAGGUAAAAGCUGCUUCACGAGGGCGAUUGGAGUUCUUUUGGACUGUAAUCGCGCUGGACUAGAUGGACUCUUCUUGUGAGG